rnacentral:rRNA from 1 species
UGGGGGAAUAUUGGGCAAUGGGCGAAAGCCUUACCCAGCAACGCCGCGUGAAGGAAGAAGGUUUUCGGAUCGUAAACUUCUAUCAAUAGGGACGAAUAAAUGACGGUACCUAAAUAAGAAGCCCCGGCUAACUACGUGCCAGCAGCCGCGGUAAUACGUAGGGGGCAAGCGUUAUCCGGAAUUACUGGGUGUAAAGGGAGCGUAGGCGGCAUGGUAAGCCAGAUGUGAAAGCCCGAGGCUUAACUUCGAGGAUUGCAUUUGGAACUAUCAGGCUAGAGUACAGGAGAGGAAAGCGGAAUUCCUAGUGUAGCGGUGAAAUGCGUAGAUAUUAGGAAGAACACCAGUGGCGAAGGCGGCUUUCUGGACUGAAACUGACGCUGAGGCUCGAAAGCGUGGGGAGCAAACGGGAUUAGAUACCCUGGUAGU